AAAUAAACAAAAUUUGAUGUUCUUAAUUAUUUUUCUUAAUAAUUAACUCUCGAGAACAAAAGAGCCAGACACUGUAUAGGUACUGUAUUAUAUACCUGAAAUUAUUGAAGGACACAAAUCAUAAAAAAUAAUAUAAAAUGCUGUGUUUUUCCACACAAUCCUGUACGAUGUUCGAAGUGGGCAGCGAUUAUCGGAACAGCUAGAGGUGAAGAAUUUUACAAGCCACGCAAAGGGUCCGUUGUAUGUUCCGAUCACUUUCCUCAGUCGGACAUAUACACAACAAUUAAAGGUUACAGAAGACUUGUUAGAAGUGCAAAACCAACUUUGCUUCUGAAAGACAAUAAUAGAAGUAAUGUCAAUAACAUAAAACAGGAACCAAUCCAAACAGAUGAAGGAAUCAUAUCUGGUCAUCAUAUGUCACAUGCUGAUCAAGAAUCUGUUUUGUGUGGUGAAUCAAGUUACCAGCGCCUACACCAGGACAAAAAUUUAGAAAAAUUGCAACAGUCUCCUUCAUCUUCCUUGAGUAAUGGAUCUAUUUUAGACACUCCCAGAGAAGUUUUUAUGAAGAAAAAAAUCAAUUUGCUAGAAAAAAGGAUCAUA
rnacentral:misc_RNA from 1 species